rnacentral:rRNA from 1 species
CUGGCGGCGUGCCUAACACAUGCAAGUCGAGCGAAUGAAGUUCCUUCGGGGAUGGAUUUAGCGGCGGACGGGUGAGUAACACGUGGGCAACCUGCCUCAUAGAGGGGAAUAGCCUUCCGAAAGGGAGAUUAAUACCGCAUAAGAUUGUAGUAUCGCAUGAUACAGCAAUUAAAGGAGCAAUCCGCUAUGAGAUGGGCCCGCGGCGCAUUAGCUAGUUGGUGAGGUAACGGCUCACCAAGGCGACGAUGCGUAGCCGACCUGAGAGGGUGAUCGGCCACAUUGGGACUGAGACACGGCCCAGACUCCUACGGGAGGCAGCAGUGGGAAUAUUGCACAAUGGGGAAACCCUGAUGCAGCAACGCCGCGUGAGUGAUGACGGCCUUCGGGUUGUAAAGCUCUGUCUUCAGGGACGAUAAUGACGGUACCUGAGGAGGAAGCCACGGCUAACUACGUG